GAAUGCUGAAUCAUACAAUCAUACAAGACACAAGCAAACGAAACUCUGGAUUUUUUUUUUUUUUUUUUUUUUUUUUGGUGUGGAGAAGAUUCAAAUUGUAAAUUUAUAUAAUUAUAAUUUAGCCUGGAAAUCUGGCAAUUUCAGUGAGGUGUCAGUUGCUAAGGUUUCUCAUGUCAGCCUGGAAUUUUGGUUACAGGAGGAAUGAGUAACUGUCUCUGAGUAGCUAAUGCCCUUGUGACUGUGGGAUGGUAAGACAGCCAAUAUCUCAGCCUUAUAUAUCUUAUUCAACCAAAGAAUAUGCAACUUAAUCAUGGUGGGCUUCAAAUUUCAAGUAGAAAUAAAAUACUUCUAUUACUGAAAAUGAUUAGAUACUCAUAUUGCAGCAAAACAUAAAAGAAUUUACCUUUCUGGAUUUAUAGCUGAAGAAAGAGAACAGAAGAAAGAAAAAAAAUGUAGAAGAGAAGGAUCUGAAAAAAGCAAAAAGCCACAACAUUUAUAGGUAAAUCCCUUUUUUACUUCUGAUAAAAUACAAGGCUAAUCUCAGUGUGGCAACUCCUUUCCCUAGGGCAGGCUGUAUCUGAGAGGAACCACUGCAGUCACAAGCUCUGAAGUCAUGCAGAGGCUUGAAAUAUUCAGUGAUGCCAUACUUUGUGACUGUGGCACACAAUAUUAGCCAAAGGGCUGGGCACACAAGGCACAUACAUUAGAUAAUGUUAUUCAGAGCCUAACCAGGACUUCAUGUGGAACAGGCUCAUAAACGGCAGCUGGGAACAGGCACGCGCAGACACUUCUGGCUGGCUGACACUUUCCAAAGGAGUUCUAAGAAAGAGAAAGCGACAAAAAGGAAGAAGAGAACCUGAAAGAAGAAAAUGGAGCAUGCCUAAGAAAACUACACUUCCAAUAACAUCAAGUUAUCCUCAAGGGACAUGUAUAAGUAGAAGAUAUUACAUGGCUGAACAGUAAAUAUCACAUUUCUUUUUACAAGCAUGUUUCUGCAUUUUAUUAUAUCUUGACUGGCAGAUCCAUAAAUUUUGAAUAUCCAGUCUAAGAAAGGGCAGACUCGAAAUCUACAGGUUGCAUUCUUCAUGGGUCUAAAUGGUCA
rnacentral:lncRNA from 1 species